ACUGGCUUUCCAGGCAUUCUACCUGAAUUACAAUAGACAAAAAUUAGUUGACAAAGUCAGCAAUGAAAAGACCUUGUAAACUUCAUGAUUCCUUAUAGUGAAAUAAACGGUGAGGAAGUGAUGUAACUAGCACUGAUGAUGGAAAAAAUCAAAAUGAAGAUUUUUUUCCCUAUAGCAUCCUUUUUGUAUUUCCCUAAAGAAGAAAACACUGUGAAAGAUCAAUGGCUAUUUAUCCACAACUAUUGUCUUGUGUAAUACAUUUUUCAUUACUGGUAGGAGAAGGAAAUAAUAGAAACAAAAGAAAGUAAAUUUUUCAGUUUAUGAGG